rfam:Danio rerio chromosome 4, GRCz11 reference primary assembly.
GGCUCAGUGGCCUAAUGGAUAAGGCAUCAGCCUCCGGAGUUGGGGAUUGUGGGUUCAAGUCCCACCUGGGUCG